AUUGAGCCUGCAUGAAAAAUGUCUAGAAUAAGUUUGAAGUUUCUUGGCUUAUCAAUUAUUGUGAAUGCCAUUGUGGGGUACUCACAGUAUUCGUCAAGAACUCGAGAAUGAAAAGAAUUGAAUAAACAGAUGACAGAAUUAUGCUGCACUAAGGCUGGAAUGUGUGUGAGACAUUUUAUACCGUUUGCUGUUGUCCAGUGUGGGUCUCCAUAGAUGCCCAUUUUAUCAGAAGCUGUAUUAUACUUGGGUUCCAUGAAAAUACAAGACUAAAAAUAUUUUCUGACCAUCACUACAAACUAUAUGGGGAAAAAAGACGCUCCGCCACCAUAACCUGACCGCACCG